rnacentral:tRNA from 1 species
GGAGACGUAGCUCAGUGGUCGUGUACAUGCUUUGCAUGUAUGAGGCCCCAGGUUCAAUCCCCCGCAUCUCCC